UGAAUCGGACUCAUGUUAAGAAGAAGAAGAAAGUAUCGUUUCUAUAGCGCCUCUCAAGAUAAAAAUCCCGAGGCGCUUAAGCAUAAUUCUGCGCACACGAAGACGCAUAAGAGACCUGGAUGAUGAAGCUCAAUGGUUAAAGGAAUCACUGAAGCGGUGUGAAGCGCUCCGUCGCGCGUCUAGGCGGUACCAUAGGAGGCGAGCUGCCGUGGUUCGCCGCAUGCUACAGCAGCGGGCUAUCUGAGUGCGCACAGCGUCCCCCGGUCCCCUCCCCCUCCCCAUUGUCCGGAACUUUACCUCACCAGUCUGAAGCAGCCACCCUGUCCGUAACAAGUCCGGACCGGUUACUAGGGGCUUCGUCCGGAUAAAUUCCGGAACACGUUAUCCGGAUGUUUGUAUUCAGACACAAAGGUCUUACGGACAGAGUCCUGAACAUUUCCGUUUUUCAUGGCCUGUCUGAAGGGGGCUAUAGUGUCACACUCUGAUCAGCUGAUGAAUCCAGAAGAGCUGCACAGGGUUCCCGAGCCUUCGAAGCUGCCUUGUUACAUGUGGAAAACAAGCUAGCUAAAAAUGUUUGUGCCUCUUAACAACAUUCUAAUGCAGUAUAGCUAUAAACAGAGAUGGGGCAUCAACAAGGCAACUCCAUGCCAUGAUUUUGUUCUGCUCAGCACCUGAACCAGGUUGCAGGUUCGAGCCCCGCUCAGACUGUCGCUGUCGCCGUGUCCUUGGGCAAGACACUUAACCCACAUUGCCUGCUGGUGGUGGUCGGAGGGACCGGUGGCGCCAGUGCUCGGCAGCCUCGCCUCUGUCAGUGUGCCCCAGGGCAGCUGUGGCUACAUUGUAGUUCAUCACCACCAGUGUGUGAAUGUGUGUGUGAAUGGGUGAAUGACUGAUUGUGUUGUAAAGCACCUUGGGGGGUUCCAGGACUCUAGAAGGUGCUAUAUCAAAUACAGGCCAUUUACCAUUUUACCAUUUAUUCCAACUUUUCAGAUAUCAUAAUGUUCCAAUUUAAGACGACAUCUAUUCCAAGUAGGAUAACUGUUGUAACACGGCUCUGUACAUAACUCUAUUAUCUGACACAUUAAAACCCAAAAAUUAUUUCCACCAUUAACGAUUAUACGCGUUGAUGAGAUUAGUCUAUCGCCAUGGAGAUGGAAACAAACCAAAGGGUCUGUGAUAUGUUGGUGUUUAGAUUGGAUCCUGUAUCUGUGAAGGUGUCCUGGUCAGGUCUGAUCCCUCCUCCCCAUGGUUUUAGGGUAAGACUUUUGUUGACUAGUUAUUGGUUUGUUGCAUAAUGAAAAUGCUUUUUAGAUUUAAUGUUUGAAGAAUGACUCCCAACAAGAUGGCGGCUGAAAUGAGUAAAUAUGAUUCACAUUGUAUUUGAGAUUUUUUGUUGGAAAUUCAAUGUCGGAUGUUUCAGGAAGGUUCUGUCAGCAGAUGGUUUGAACUAAAGUCACAUGUCAUCGCCUCAUCUGACUUUAAAGUGACGGUCUGUUUGAGAGCCAGCUGCAUGCUUCUUAUCUUGCUAUUAGAUGUCAGUAGUCCAUAUUCAGAUCUACUCAUGGCUGUGAUGUUGAGUUUUUAUUCUUUAAGUUUGGUUUGAAUAAAGUGCCUCAGGAGGAUAAUUGAGGUUGUGUCACAUCACUGAGAUUAACCGCCUCCACUUGAGGGUGACUCACUCCGAUAAAUUGGCUUGAUGAGCCACAGGAAAGAGAAAUAUUCAGGCAAGUUCUUUUCUUGUGUUAUUGUUCAGGUUACGCUUCAGUCGUUUUAUUAGGUUUAUUCUCUGUCAAACAGACGAGACAACGGGUUGUUUUAAAGAGAAGCGUCUGUCCAAAUCAUAGAAUCCAUUUUAAAACAGUUGUUUUACUCUGUAAUCAAACCUUUAGUCCUGUUGGUGUGGAAGUACACACUAUUCACUGAAGUCAGCACAGUAGUGUUUCCAUUUAGAGUGCAUGAAAGCAGGACCUCAGACUAAUCAGUGUGGGAUUUGUUUUUGAGUGCAUGGAUGUGUAAUCCAUGGUUUAUAAUCCCAGUCUCAUGCUGCGGUUACAUCUCUCGCACUGCCUCCACCCUGGAUUAUUUCUUCUCCUGCUUUUGUUCUUCCCAUUCUUGUUUCUGUCCCAAAGGAUUCAGAGGAAGGUACCGUCUCUCACCCCAACCCUGCACAAAUGCAUGGAUAGUUGGAAUGUCUUUGCUCGAAAUCAUCAUCAGAACCUCAUGUUUGUAUUAAACAGAAGAACACUGAAGGUGCUACAGGUGCCUGACUCAGAGUGAACGGAAGAAUGACUCUGGUGUUUCUACGCCUUCUAAACCUUUCUUUCAUUGAUAGCUGACACAUUUAUUCUGGUCAUCCUGAGAUCCAGGGCUGCUUUCAAAUGCAGUAGAGCUGCGUUAAUUUAGAAAAAAAAAAAUAACAUGUGGUUGUGAUAUCCUUCAAUUUGACAAUCCUGGUUGCACAUAGGGCUGGGGGGAAACGAUUAUUUUUAAAACGAUUAUUCUGACGAAUAUUUCAUCGAAAUAUUCUAAUGACUAUUUAGACGAUUAAUCUAGCGAUUAUUUUCUUAUUGCGCAAUUAAUAAAAACAAGAAAAUCUUAAAUAAAUUCUUCCAAAAAAUUGAUGAAUUGGUACUGUAAGAGAAUAAACACUACAGGCCUUCCAUUCUGUAUAACACUGCUUUUAUUGUGUUGGUUGGUUAUGUUCUGGUGACGUGUAGAACUUGGGAGUGCAGGCUGCUGCCUGAGAGGUGGUUGGAGACGGAGUGUCUCCAUGCUGCUUUGUUUUGGUCACUUAUGUGCGUGAGGCGAGUGGUGUUACGACUCUUCCUGGGGAGUUUGGCUCGUGUGCAAAAAGGAAGGGACAAUAACGGGAUUUAAAAGUUAAAAUGAUGAUCAGGUUUAUUUACAACUACAAAAAAAAUAUAAAUCUUUCCAUCCGCAGGUUGGGAAUAAUAAAACUCCUUCUGCCUGUGGGGAAUUAAAACAAAAGUACAAAUAAGUAGGGAUGUCCCACUGGGCAAAGAUUACUGGGUUCUGGACCAAAAUAAGGAUCUCCAAAGGUCCAAACUCUAAACUGGGCGGUGAAACCAAACUCAAGGUGAUAUUUUAAACUAAACCGAAAACCCACAACACUCUAAAUGUAAUAAAAGGGAGAUCUGCGCCACAAAAAAGAUGAACUCUAAACCAAAACGUAACAGCUUAUCCAAACGCAAGAAGCUGUUAGCGAAGAUGCUAACAGUAGCUUUACCAACGUUAAGUUCAAGUCACCAAGUUUAAAUAAACAAAAACACCCAGCAGCAAACAGACCAGCAUGGAGGAGAGACUGCUACCACCAAAACAGCUCUCCUAAUGUCUGAAAGAAGCUCCUUAAUGAAGGGAGAAACGCUCCCGGUGAUUUUCUACAUCUGCGGUAGAGACGGAGCAGCGCGUUUGACCCCGGAAGUUGUUGUCCGUUGCCGGGAGACGAAGGCGGGCAAAACAGGAAAGGAAUCUAGUAGCGGACGGACAUUGUUCCGGGUCUUCGGUAUUUGGUGGAGAUGUUAGUGAAGGCGGAGAAGAGGGCGAACUAGAGGGAAAACAGGCAGAUUCCACUUCUAUUUACAAACUCCUGGGGAUGCAACAAGUGGGCGUGGUGCGUCGACUACCGGAUCUGACGUCGACAAAUUUUUAGAAUCGAGCCGUCGACGCCAUUGACGCUUCGCUACAGCCCUAGUUGCACAAAAACAAAAAAGAAUCCACACUUCCUUUUAUCUAUACCUAACCUGAGCAUCUAGUGCAAUGAGUCCAUCAGAUCCUCACACGCCUCUUAAGUAGAACCGCCUGAUUUACUGUUGCCUGUGAAAUGACUGAUUCAUUGUGAUUAAUACCUCUCCUCCACACGGUUUUUAAUAAAUGCAGAUAGAUUUUAUUUCACACUUCCUCGCAGGAUGUUCAAGUUUCCAAAACUGUUGUGUUCAGCCGAAAAUAAUUCUGGUCCAGUUAAUAUUUUACACUCAUCUGGUCAAAAUGUAACUCCGUUCAAAACCAUAAGAACACAAACUGAAGCCAAAAUAGAAACCAGGAGAUGAAUCAGCCUGAACAUUUUACUGAAUACUAAAUGUUGACUACAUUUUCAGUCUUAAUUUAGUGACUUCUAUGGGAAUCCUGCCUCAGCCUGAAAGCUUGGCCUUUUCAGCAGCCCUGUGGGUUGUCGUAGACCUUUUGUGCUCGUCUCCCUUUGUGACCUCUAGCUUGGAAAAUGUAGGAUGGGUUUGAGCUGCAGGAGCUUCACUAUAGAACAGAGUUGGAGAAUAAAGAGAGCAGAGCCUCUUCCCUCGUGGGAGGAAGCUCUAAUAGGGCGCCUGAGCCACGCCCACCUACUUCCGCACCAAGGGUCCCUGGAAGAACAAAAAAAUGAAUGCAAGUCAACGGGGCUAAAAACGCCAUUUUCUAGUUCCGCUUGUUUUGUGCUAUGGAUUUCACACAUGAUGCCCGUGAAUCUUAAAGACACAUUUUGAUACCAAGAACGUGCUUAUUUUCAAACAGGGGGGAAUGCUGUUUUAGGUUUCAUGUGAAAAUAAGUCCAGGACUACGCUUCAUGAAAGUGACAUCCUCGAACCAGACACGGAGAAAACAGGGAAAAGGGCUGUAAGUAAAGCGAACUUCAACUCCUUCCUCCAGGAGGAAAUAACCACCAUGAAUCUGGUCAUGUGGUAAGUAGCAGCUACGCUAGGGGGGGAGGAGAUUAUGUGGUCAUGUCAUAUGUGCGACGUGCCGAUGUAGUCAUGCUAAUUACGAACUUUUACAAGCCGAUAAAUCUCAAUGUCUGUGACAGGCGUGGUCGAAACACCCAUCAUUACUUUUCAUUUAAACUGCAGUAGAACGUGUGUGUGAUCCAGGGCGUAAAGCAAAGCGGGUUGGUAAAUAGAAUUUUUAGCCCCGUUGACUAGCAUUCAUGUUUUCGUUCUUCCUGGGCAUCCAUGAGCCCACCGGGAAGUGAGGAGGCUUGGGCUCCCUGUAAUGUUGUAAAGUUUCUUAAUGAUUUGAUUUAUAUUUAAAGUGAGCACUCACCAUCUCAGCAUUGUGUCAACCAGCUCUCCAGUUUUACCCGUCACUGUUUCAACAUUCAGAGUCUCUACUUUCAGUUUCACAAUCUUGCCUUUCUCCUCAUCCGUCGACUGUCAUUAGACCAAUUUCCUCCGGCACCCUGUAUAGGUCAACAGCACCGGUGCUGGUCGUGAACCAAUCCAGUAUGAAACCCUGUAUGUGAUGCUCAUAUAUCAGGCCCGGAGUGGCUAAUCGGGAGGGUCUGGAGAAUUCCCGGUGGGCCGCGCGAUGUUUGGGCCGCAUGGGCCGGUGCUCUCGUUUUUGUUUUUUAUCAUUUUAUUUUUAUUUUUUGGUGCCGGUGUUCAGUCAUGGCACUGAGGCCGCCGGGCUGAUCUCAUACGCUCCUCCCGGCUGUCUCUACCUGCAGGCUGCAGCUCGUUUUUUUUCUUUUUGCCCAAUAUGCGCCUGUGCGCACCACGUGACCUCGCAGUUGACGGAAAGAUGGAAAGUAGAAAGAGCAAGGGUGGCGCGGAGAAGGCAAGAAUUAAAAAGAGGAAAGCGCUGGAAACAGAUGCAGCUAAAUGUGCAAAAAUGAGCACCUUUUUUUCUCAAACAAGCUUGCGGUCUUUAACUUCAAAUGAAGAUAAAACGGCCCACAAGAUCCAGUAGGCCUAAUAAGCACCAGGCAGAAACCCACAAUUCCAGAGUGGACAUGUACAGGUAGGAUUACUUAUUGAGUCAGUGAACUGAAUAUUAUUAAAAUUUAUAUGAUGAAAACUAUCCUGGCUCUAUAUGAAAGUGUUCUAAAAUGCUAGAUGAUUCAGCAUUGAUCAGAAAGCGUGUAAAAAGGAAAAUGAAUGCUGAAUUGUGACAAUUUUCACACAAUGUAGUGUCAGAAGAAGAGCCAGGAGCCAGCAGUGAGGGUAUUGCUCCUGUUGGGAUAGAAGGUGAGCCAACUCAUGUGCAAACAAGCAAACAUUAGUUUCAUUAUAAUAAUUUUAAUGUCCAAAUAAUAGUAGUGACCUGUUGUAUUUUUAUUAGUAAAUGCACAAAGCCCACAACAGAUAGUUAUUAGAAUGAAAGUAAAAUGAAAUAAGCCUGCAUAUUUUGCCAUAGAAAAUAUUUUAAUUGGUUACAAAAAAUGUGUUUUCCAUAUCAAAUGUGCUAAAGCUUUACAGAUGAUUAUUUUAAUUGUGUGCAGGUGAGUCUAGGGAAACUGGAAAAAGUGUGAAAGGGAGUGCUGAGUCAUUUCAUUUUAAAGGUUUGAAAAUCUCAGAACAGCUGUUUGAACAGAAGGUAGAUUGUUAUAUUGUUAGAGAAUGUGUUGUAAAGAACAAUGUUGGAGAUGUGCACUGAUGUUCAAAUAAACCUACAUUGUAAAGCAA